rnacentral:rRNA from 1 species
GAUGAACGCUGGCGGCGUGCCUAAUACAUGCAAGUCGAGCGAACAGACGAGGAGCUUGCUCCUUUGACGUUAGCGGCGGACGGGUGAGUAACACGUAGGUAACCUACCUAUAAGACUGGGAUAACUUCGGGAAACCGGAGCUAAUACCGGAUAAUAUUUCGAACCGCAUGGUUCGAUAGUGAAAGAUGGCUUUGCUAUCACUUAUAGAUGGACCUGCGCCGUAUUAGCUAGUUGGUAAGGUAACGGCUUACCAAGGCAACGAUACGUAGCCGACCUGAGAGGGUGAUCGGCCACACUGGAACUGAGACACGGUCCAGACUCCUACGGGAGGCAGCAGUAGGGAAUCUUCCGCAAUGGGCGAAAGCCUGACGGAGCAACGCCGCGUGAGUGAUGAAGGUCUUCGGAUCGUAAAACUCGGUUAUUAGGGAAGAACAAACGUGUAAGUAACUGUGCACGUCUUGACGGUACCUAAUCAGAAAGCCACGGCUAACUACGUG